UACAGAGGUCUCAAGCGUUGUUCGGAUUCAUUGGGCGUAAAGGGUGCGUAGGUGGCGCGCUAAGUCAGGUGUGAAAUCUCGGGGCUUAACUCCGAAACUGCAUUUGAUACUGUCGUGCUAGAGUACAGAAGGGGCAACUGGAAUUCUCGGUGUAGCGGUGAAAUGCGUAGAUAUCGAGAGGAACACCUGCGGCGAAGGCGGGUUGCUGGGCUGAUACUGACGCUGAUGCGCGAAAGCCAGGGGAGCGAACGGG
rnacentral:rRNA from 1 species